AUGAAGUGGUUCAACAUGAGCUCGUCCACGUACAGGUCGCCGGUGUUCAUCGGCCUCCUGGUGGUGAUGUCCGUGGCCUUGGUGCUCCUUCUGCACCACUGCAUCCUCGUCAGCUGCUGCAACGGCGAGAGGAUCCGCAGGCGCAGCCGCCGGCGAGGUGCCACGGCGCGGCAGCAUGAACAGCAGCCGGAAGAGAGCGUGGGCGACCUGAGCUCGUCGUCGCGGGUGCAGCUGGUGGCGAAGCCGGUGGUGUGCCGGUACCGGAAGGACGAGGAGUGGAGCGAGCCGACAUGCCCGGUGUGCCUUGCGGACUUCGCGGACGGCGAGGCGGUGAGGGUGCUGCCGGAGUGCCUGCACUACUUCCACGCGGACUGCAUCGACACCUGGCUCCGCGCCGGCAACACCAGCUGCCCGAUGUGCCGCGCCGAGACCACGCCCACGCCAUCGCCCAGCCCCGCCGGGUCACUCCACCACCAACUCUCCCUCGACAUCUCCCUCGAGGACAUCCUAAUCCGCACGUAG
rnacentral:rRNA from 1 species